GAUGAACGCUGGCGGCGUGCCUAAUACAUGCAAGUCGAGCGAACAGACGAGGAGCUUGCUCCUCUGACGUUAGCGGCGGACGGGUGUGUAACACGUGGAUAACCUACCUAUAAGACUGGGAUAACUUCGGGAAACCGGAGCUAAUACCGGAUAAUAUAUUGAACCGCAUGGUUCAAUAGUGAAAGACGGUUUUGCUGUCACUUAUAGAUGGAUCCGCGCCGCAUUAGCUAGUUGGUAAGGUAACGGCUUACCAAGGCAACGAUGCGUAGCCGACCUGAGAGGGUGAUCGGCCACACUGGAACUGAGACACGGUCCAGACUCCUACGGGAGGCAGCAGUAGGGAAUCUUCCGCAAUGGGCGAAAGCCUGACGGAGCAACGCCGCGUGAGUGAUGAAGGUCUUCGGAUCGUAAAACUCUGUUAUUAGGGAAGAACAUAUGUGUAAGUAACUAUGCACGUCUUGACGGUACCUAAUCAGAAAGCCACGGCUAACUACGUG
rnacentral:rRNA from 1 species